rnacentral:rRNA from 1 species
AUUCCAGCUCCAAUAGCGUAUAUUAAAGUUGUUGCAGUUAAAAAGCUCGUAGUUGAAUUUCUGGUGGGAGUGUACAGUCCGACACUGAGUGUUGGUUCUUGUGUGUCUCCGGCCAUCCUUGGAGUGAAUCUGUCUGGCAUUUAGUUGUUGGGCAGAGUAUCUCCAUCGUUUACUGUGAGGAAAGGAAAGUGUUCAAAGCAGGCUUACGCCGUUGAAUCUUUUAGCAUGGAAUAAUAAUUUAGGACUCUGUUUCUAUUUUGUUGGUUUCCGGAAACGGAGUAAUGAUUGAUAGGGAUUGUUGGGGGUGCUAGUAUUCAGCGGCCAGAGGUGAAAUUCUCGGACUCGCUGAAGACUAACUUAUGCGAAAGCAUUCACCAAGGAAGUCUUCAUUG